rnacentral:rRNA from 1 species
UAAGGAAUAUUGGACAAUGGGCGCAAGCCUGAUCCAGCCAUGCCGCGUGAAGGAUGAAGGCCCUAUGGGUCGUAAACUUCUUUUAUACGGGACAAAACCCCCCGACGUGUCGGGGGUUGAUGGUACUGUAAGAAUAAGGGUCGGCUAACUUCGUGCCAGCAGCCGCGGUAAUACGAAGGACCCAAGCGUUAUCCGGAUUUAUUGGGUUUAAAGGGUGCGUAGGCGGAUUAGUAAGUCAGUGGUGAAAGCCCAUCGCUCAACGGUGGAACUGCCAUUGAUACUGCUAGUCUUGAGUAUGGUUGAGGUGGGCGGAAUGUGUCAUGUAGCGGUGAAAUGCUUAGAUAUGACACAGAACACCAAUUGCGAAGGCAGCUCGCUAAGCCAUAACUGACGCUGAGGCACGAAAGCGUGGGGAGCAAACAGG